CUGGAAAUGGAGGCCCAGAGAAUUUUUCCCAAGAUCACACAGCAAGUCAACGGCAGAGCUGGGUUCCCAUGGAUCCAGGACUCCCUACUCCUGAUUCAUCAUUCAACACAUUUGUGUCCUGCUCUUUCCAUCACUUUCUUCUGCUCAGAUCCCAUGUCUCUGGGUCUGGUCAUGUCUCCAUGGAAAAUCACCGGGGUGGUGGAGCACGAAUGUGAUGCUUUCAGAAUCCUGGGCUCUUGAAGGUACCCCAGCGCCUUGUCUGAAGGAGGGGAAGAGCCUCAGCGGCCCCGUCACCCCGUAGCUUGGGGAGCUCUGUGUGGAGGUGGAUGAGUCCAGCUGUCCAGAGCUGGGGUCUCACAGACCUGGCUUUGACGCCCAGCUCUGCGCCUUGUUUGCCACGUUCCCAUGCCUAGUCACCCUGUUUUUACGGAUUUACCCAUUUUACGGAUGGGGAUAAUACUUAGCGCUCCUUCGUGGUGUUACUGUGAGGAUUAAAUGAAACGAUGAGCAGCACCUGGGCCGGAGGGAGCAGUCCAUGAAUGUUAACAUCCUUUUUUUCUUUCAGUUGAAUUGAGAUGUAAUGACGUACAGCACUGUGUAAGUUUAAGGUGUACAGCAUAAUAACUUGACUGACAUAUAUUGUGAAAUGAUUACCACAAUAAGUUUAGUUAAUGUCCAUCAUCUCACAUAAAUAGAAAAAGAAAAAGAAAAAAAUGUUUUUCCCUUGUGAUGAGAACUUUUAGAAUCUGGUCUCUUAGCAACGUUUGAAUAUACCAUACAACAGUGUUAACUGUAGUCAUCUUGCUGGACAUUUUAACAUCCUUAUUAUUAGAUUUAUUACUAUUUUUAGAAACAGAGCUCCAAAUUGGAGUUCGUGUGGGAUAAUGCGUGUUCUGUAUUAGCUCUGGCCAAUGGAAGUUGAGCCACAGGUAAUUCUAAAUUUUUCAGUAGCCACGUUAAAAAAAAGUAAAACUAAACUGGUGAAAUUAACCUUAAUAGUAUACUUUGUUGAACCCCAUAUAUCUAAAAAAUUAUCAUUUCAAUGUGGACACAGGAAAACAAAUUAUUAAGGAGAUAGUAGGCAUUCUGUUUUUGUCCUCAGUCUUUGAAUUGGUGCGCAUUUCACACGGCGCAUCUCGAGUCAGACUAGACACAUUCCAAGUGCUCAAUAGCCACGCGUGGCCAGUGGUGCCACAUGGGACCGCACAUCCCAUGUGGUUUCCCAGCGUCCCCUGUGCAAUUGUCCCCAACUGCCCAUAGUGGGUGACACGCUGUGACACACCCUUUGCUGACCUGCUUCCUUUCCCUGCCUCAGUCCCCACUUCCCUGCUGGCAUUUCCUGGCCUCACCUCCCAAAUAAACAGUUUGCCCUCAAAGCCUUGUUCCAGGGUCCGCUUCUGGGAGAACGUGGCCCCAAACAGGUGCUCCUUUCAUCCUCCCACCACUUCAGUGAAGCUGGGAAGAAAAAGGAGCUUUUUUUCCCAUUAUGUAGACGGUACACUGGGGUUCAGAGAGGGCCUGAGACUUGCCAACAGUCCCCAGCAGGCCUGUGGCAGAACCAGGUGCAGAAGGAAGUGUUCUCCCACCCCUGCUUCCACCCACCCUGGACUUUUAUUUUUUAAACCAAGAGAAGGGCAUUCCCAUGAUGGUAGGGAAAUGUGUCUGUUUCCUGCCCCAUGCUCACCUUGGUACCUUGCAGGAUAGACAGUUCCGCCUUCCCGCGUGCAGCCAGCCCUGGCUUGCCCUGCCCCACGGUGAGAUCCUGGGGAGGCUGUGGACACAGCUUGAGAGCCUGAGGGCCCACGGCGGCCAGGGGGAAAUGGGCUCCCUCGAAGGGCAUGAUGGGAAGAAUGCCCCUGGGUCCCCCCAGCCUCAUAUAUCCAGCAAGAGGAGCAGACCAGAUCUCCUGGAAGGGGGAAAAAGAAAAGAAAAAAAAUCUCCCAUCUGUUGAGUAUUAACCUAUGAACCAUUUAACCAAACAUUGGCUUCUCUUGUCAUUUGAUAAGGUGUAUCCAGCAAAGGGAGAUGAGAAAAUUGGGAGGUUAUUCUUUUAAAUUACAUCAGCAGGGGGUUUGUUCCUGCCGCAGAGCUCGGAGGGUCCCGUCUGGGCCAUCACAUCACCAGCAGCACACUCAAGGACAGAUUUGAGAGCUUUCCUCUGCCUGGGCGUUCAAGCAUUCACAGGGAUAUAAAAAAAAGCAAGAGGGAUUUGAAAAUAAAGCCCGUGCGCGGCAGGCUGUCUGCCCUGAGCCAGCGCCGCAGCGACGGUGAUUAUGGAGGAAGGAAUGGUUUGUGUCACCGUCACAGAGAAAUGUCCGACAGCUUUUCUGCAGAGACAACACCUCUCAGUCUUCCAGAGACUCUGUGUGCAGACUUCCGGAGCUGUCGGGGACCUCCGAGGCCAUCCUGCCCACCCCAGCCCCCCUGGAGUAGAGUUUCUUUGCGGGAUGGGCCAGCAAGCAGUCUAGACAGAUAGGGUCCUCUAGGGCCGGCCAGCCAGCCAGCUUCCGCUGGCAGAUCUGACCAGUUGAGAGGACAUCAGGCCCUGGACAGAAGGGUGGGAGCCCAGGCUUUGGCUGCUGUCUCUGGUCCCGCCUUCCCUCCUGUCCCUCUCCUGACCUCUAACUGACGGGAGCAGGUGAUCCCCCAGGCCCCACCCAGGCCUCCGGGGAAGUGAACUGAGCACUGGAGGGAGUCAGGAGUCUGUCAUGAAUGCCUUGUAUGACUUUGAACUAGUUCCUUCUCUUUGGGCCUCAGUUUCCCCAUGAGUUAAAGGAGCUGCAUGAGAUGGUCUCCAAGAUCCUGUCAGCUCUGCUCAUGGUGGCGUUUGCUCAUAGGAUUCCUCUAACAGGCAGGAAACACACGUUUUCUGCUUCUCCCAGUGACUCACGGCCCAUUUGUCAGAAGUCUUCUCUGCUGUCUUUUCCAGACCUGGCUCACUGAAUCCUCCCUCCUUUUCUCCGGCCUUUUCUUGGUUGCCAGAGCCAAUGAGGUCUCACCUCAUCCUCCCCUGGACUCACUAGUCUUGGCUCUCACAUCUCACUUCUUCCUUGGGGAAGAGAAAGGCAAUCCACUCCCCCUGAGCACUGACUACACCCAGGCCCUGGGCUGGGCUCUUUCACGCAUGUCAACUCGUUUAAUCUUCAUAGCAGCUCAGAGCCAGAGAGGAGUCUCAUUUCAGAUGAGGAAACUGAGGCUUAGAAAACUUGGCUUGACUGAGUGCCCACACCAGGAAGAGGUGGAGUCAGGAUUCGGACCAGAUCAGUUUGACUCUAAAGGCCAGAUUCUUUCCGCUAUAUAACGCCUUCCUGUGUCACUUGGCCAUCUCCUUCUUCCUGGGUGAGGCCCCAGGCUCCUUGAGGACAGGGGAGGCAGAAUGGCAGAGCAGACAAAGCAUGGAAGCUUGCUCCAAAGACUUGACUCCUUGGCAGACAGGGAAGAGGAAGACAAGUGCUCAAAUCUCAGAAACUGGCUGAGACAUGAGAGUAAUGAACUUGAGCCCAAGCCUCCACCGCAUGUGAGUUUACACCAAUUCCAUUCCCCAUCUCAGCUCAUGCCCAGUUUCGUUGACCAGCCUGGCUCGCCCGAGAGGGCUCUAUAAUGAGUGCCACGCAACAGCCCAAAUGCUGAAAAGCAAGGUGCCAUCCUUUCCAACACAGAGUAGGAGUGUGACCUUGGACGAGUUCCUCCAACUUCUGUUUCCUCCUCUGCAUAAUGGGCGUGAGAUCUCCCUCCACCUCACAGGCAGCAACAGUGAAAAGCCUCCACUGGCUCACUGGUAAAGGCAUCCUCACCGUUUUUCUUCCUCUCUCAUGCCCAUCCCGUGUCACCUGUAGCACAUGCCUGGCAGAUAUAUGUUGGAUGAAUGCUAGUCACCAACCUUGGACAGCCCUUUCAAGUUGACUGAAUAUUUCCACACUUCCUGUUCCUGUUCCUGCAGACCUUUCAGAAGGCAGGGCUGUCCUUGCUCUUGGCCCUAGUUUACAGAUGAAGAAACUGAGGCCCGUCUUUUAUGGAUCCCUGCCGGCUGAGGAGUGGGGGAGCUUUUCCCUAACAGCUCUCUGUCUUCUUGUCAUUUGGACAGAAAAGGCCUGUGAGGGCAGCUUUGUGGCCAGCUGUGGCCCAGAUGUGGAGGCCUGGCUGGCCACAAAGGAGGUGGGUGGGUGGGAACAUCCUCCCAUUUCCUCCCUUGAAGACAAAUGGCUCAGGGGCCACUGGAGGCUCUGCAGGCUGUGGCUGGACUGGGAGCCUCCCUGGAGCCUCCGUGAGGCAGGAGCUGUGCUCAUCUUGAAAACAGUUCCUCCAUGUGGGUGGCUCCUUGGAGGGUGACAUCAGAGGGCAGGGGCUCUGUAAGCUGCCUCCCCGUCCCUUCUCAGCAUGACUCUCUAAAUAGUUGUGUUCAGGCCCCGGGUCCUAAGGACCCUCAUCCCGGUCUAGGCAAAGCCAGGCAGGCUAAAAGACGGAGCCAUCUGGACCAGCAUUUUGUUUGUUUGGGUUUUUUUGGGGGGGCUAGCAUUUUGAGUUCUCUCCUAUGGCUUUGGAGUGAAUAGACACACACAGAAAACAUACACACAAUGCACACACUCAUGCACCCAUACACAUGUUCACACCUACACACACUCAUGCACGAGUGUGUAUGCACACGCACGGACAUUCACACCUCCCAGGAGCAACUGUGGCUCCCUCCAGCCCCUAGAGCUCCCUUAAGCCCCUCGGGGGAGGAGGGAAGGAAGUUGGGUGUCGUAUAUCAUUUCUCUCUGAACAGGCAGUGUCCUCUUGGCCCAAAGCAGGGGUGGGGGUGGGCGGCAGCCG
ensembl:lncRNA